rnacentral:rRNA from 1 species
CAGCCGCCACGGUAAUACGAAGGGGGCUAGCGUUGCUCGGAAUGACUGGGCGUAAAGGGCGCGUAGGCGGCGAUCAAAGUCAGGCGUGAAAUUCCUGGGCUCAACCUGGGGGCUGCGCUUGAUACUUGGUUGCUUGAGUGGGGAAGAGGGUCGUGGAAUUCCCAGUGUAGAGGUGAAAUUCGUAGAUAUUGGGAAGAACACCGGUGGCGAAGGCGGCGACCUGGUCCUUGACUGACGCUGAGGCGCGAAAGCGUGUGGAGCAAACAGGAUUAGAUACCCCCGUAGUCCCUGUCUCUUAUAC